UUGCAUAAUUGCAUUAACGUUCUCAUUUUGCUCGUAUUGACCGUUAUGCGCUCUGUCAGAUAAGUAUUGUUCAUUUUCACACCGCUUUUCCAAAGCUUAUUUCAGCUAAACUGCAGAUUUGUAUUUUAAAGAUUACGUUGGAAUUAUUUCUACACUAAAAUGUUUGGAAUUAUUUAUACACUAAAAAUAGGAUAAAUUAUUAGUUUUUAUUCCGCUGUAGGAAUAUAUUUCCUAUUGUUUUUCAUAAACUAGUGGCAGAAAGGUAUUGUUCAUUUUCACACCGCUUUUCCAAAGCUUAUUUCAGCUAAACUGCAGAUUUGUAUUUUAAAGAUUACGUUGGAAUUAUUUCACACCCUUAUUUCGAGGGUAGAAAAUCCCUAACAGUAGGAUAAAUUAUUAGUUUUUAUUCCGCUGUGGGAAUGUAUUUCCUAUUGUUUUUCAUAAACUAGUGACAGAUAGGUAUUGUUCAUUGACACCGCUUUUUCCAAAACAUUUUUCAGCUAAUCUGAAAAUAUCUGUUUUUGUGAAAUCAGUUGCCCAGUGGCAUUAGCGUUAUCAUUUCGCCGCUCCCGCCUCAUAUUAAGGGUUGCGCGUUCGUUUAUCGUCUUAUACACAAAUACUUUUUUUUUUAAUCGUUUAUUAUCAUAAUACAUACAUAUAAAAUACAUACAAAAAUCGCCAAACUGUAAGUCAGCACUACAUGCACAUACUGAGUGCAAAUGGCCCACUUAAUGCCUCAGGUAAUAUCUAAGCCAUUAAAAAUAUUACUCUCUAUCAGUAUAUUCACAUAGCAUUCGCAUUCUUCAGCUUCAAUCUGUUGGGAGACGUUACAAGCGAUGACUUAUGUAUACAUAUUGUAUUUUAGGUUUUAUGUAGAAAAUCAAAGAAUGCAACUUCGAUUCGGAAGCUUUGGGUUUAAAUGAAAGUAUAUUGCCAGGUUGUCCAGAAAACAAGAUUAUUCCCAACACGUAAAACAUAUUCUUUAAAUAUAUUUCAGGUAAUCUCAUUAUUCUUUAAACUUUAGUUAUAUUUUCUAAUAGAUUAUGUAUGUACAUAAAUAAAAGUAUACUGAGAAGGUAGACACAGGUUUACAAGAUAAAAAACGUAUUCGACAGUUAUAAUCGUAUUGCCUUUGUCCGUACCUAGUACCGCAUUUCUCAAAAAAUACGGUAUAGUAUUCUAUUUCUUAUUACCUACUAACUAUAUUUUUAACGUUUACCUUCUCAAAAUUAUAACUAUCGUGAAUUGGGUCGAUUCUCGGCAUUCUACAAAAUAUUUUUCAAUAUAAUUCACAAUUAGUAUAUAGAUAGCCUACUGUAUAUAAUAUAAAACCCAAUCUUCGGUAGAAACGUUUUGUUUAUAUCUUAAUUGACAUCCUUUUUUUCCGUCAUAUAAAUACACAACAAUGAAACUUAUGCCAAGGUCAUAUACUGCAGAUUUAGUCCUAUGAUUGUAACCAAAAACGUUAUUAUUCCAUGUUUAUAAGUAAUGUCCUCAAACACGUUUUACUUGGAUAAUGAAAAUGAAUUUUAACAAAUUCAAUAUUUUGCUUUAAGUUUUGAAAAAUGCUUCACUUUUCUAAUACUUUUGUUUGCGUUCGCAAUUUACGAUAUCAGGACAUAAUUUUUUGCAUCCAAUAGCAUACUAUAAAUACGUAUUCUGGCACUUAGCCACAAUCUGCAGCUUCAGUCAUUGUAUUGAUUAAUUAAUCAACGUUUUUUUCAAUCCAUUUGUUUCUUCUCAAUUUAGUUGGCAUUUGUCAUGAACACUUAAAAAACUUAAGUUUUUAUUUUGUUCAAGAUCACGAUCUGCAGCUUCAGUCUUUUACAAGAAUGUACAUACAUAAUAUAUGUAUAUCAUACGUGCGAUAUUGUGCACGUAAAAUAGUCACUUGCAUGCCACUCUCUUCUGUAGCCUGGUAGCAAUUUAUAUGUAUAAUACAUAAUUAUUUAUGAUAAGAAAUAAUCCCACCAUGCCUAUUAUAUGUUAGUAUUACUUUGUAAAACAUUGGAAAAUGUUAUUUCAGUGUACCUCUCACAUAUUCAUUUCUUACCUUAUCCAUUCCUGUCACAUUUGUUAUGAAUGUACUUUUUUUUAAACAUGUACUCGAUAACUUUAUGUGACAUAUAAUUCAUUCAAAUUACGUUCUUGUUCUAAGCGUAUCGUUUAUUACACCAUUGCGGCUGCGGUGCAACGUGUCAGGGUAUGGUUUGUCAACUUGUAUGUUUGCAAAUGUACCCACGAUACAAUAAUUAAAACAAAUUAAGGUUACAAACUGCAGCUUUACUGCCCACCUCCUUCUCAACCAUUCUUGUCACGGUCAUCUACUUAGUCGUGAUUUAUCCAGUUUCAAUAUAAAUAUGAUGAUACUAGUAUAUUUGUAUGAAAAAAUAUAAAAAAAAACAUUAUUUCAAUGUUGUCAAUACCUGCCUUUAAAAAAUAUAAAUUGAAACACAAACUGCAGCUUGCAUUAUUUACAUUAUGGGCAUUUUAUCCAAUUAAUCAUUUUUCUUUUUUCUUUGAACUCCACUCCACCAGAGUCUUAUAUUCUUUUCAACGCGAGUUUAGUUCCCUUAUACUCCAAUAUCGUUGUAGCAUCUACAUGAGACUACGUUAGUACGUAAUACCUUGCGUUCCUGACUGAGGUAACUGCAGUUUCAGUCACUCAGCAGUAUUAACACGCGAUAUUUAAUACUGAAAGGUCACAGUAGGUUUACAACCAGCAGCUUCAUAUCCUGUCAGUUCUUCGUCGCGCCUAGAUCAAAAUUAGAAAGCCUAGUUAUUGUAUAAGAAUAACAAAAACGCGGACCGAAAGAGGAAACCUGGGCAGACCUCCCACUAGGUGGACUGACGACAUAGUCGCGGGGAGCCAGAGUGGAUGCAAAUGCUGGCUUGUCGUCCUACGUGAAGGAAUAAGGGAGGGAUCUUUGUUUAACAGAGGACGUCUUCCAGCUGAUGAUGAUGAUUGAUAAGAAUAAGAAUAGUUACAGUUAUAACGUUCUUAACUAGCUUUCUUUAACAUAGUCGUGUUCCUUAUCCAUUCUCGCCAGAAUCAUUUCGUCAAUAGCAUAUUGUUAAAACCAAUAUACAAUUGUCAUGGAAGCUCACACACACAGAGACACGCUGCAGCCUCAAUUUCAUGGACAUAAUCGGCCAAUUAACUUGUUUUCUUUGUCUCAAACAUAAUAUGUAUAACAUUUAGCCAUGACCUUUUCAAGGUCACACUCUGCAGAUUUAUACUCUUUGCUUUCUUUAAUUAUUUGAUACUAUAUGUACAUAUAGUAUAACACAGAUGUACCUACGAGUACUCUUUGUCGGAAGAAACAUAAAACUCAAGAUACUUUUAAAAAUACGACGUAGGAUACGGAUUCUUUAGCCCUUUAGCGGGUGAUUCCGGACUGAUAAAGAAUAGUUAUGAUAAGUAGGGUCGUAGUGUUCUGCUUGAGUCAUGCUUUUAUUUUAUUUUUUUAUUCUGAGUCACAGCUUCUGUUAGCUAUAUUUUCCUAAGUUAGUUCGCUUAGUUGACCAUUUUCCUAGGUAGGAAAACUAUUGAGUUUACAUUUUAUCAAGGUCACAACCUGCAGGUUCUUGAAGGUCCGAGCAAAUCGUUUAGUGUUACCGAUAUAACAUCACGAACACGCUCUCGUCACAAAAUCUGUGGAUUGUUUUUCAAUCUGUUCUGCUAGUUUGCAGUAUUACUACGGUAUAGUAAGUUCUUAGACUCACUCCGCUGUUUCUGUUGGUCGCUUAGUUGACCACUUUCCUAGGUAGGAAAACUCUUGAGUUUUAAUUUUAUCCAAGAUCACAAGCUGCAGGUUCCUAGCCAAGUGUAUAGUGUUAAGCCGGGUCCAGACGAGUGUAACGUGUAAUGUAAUCCACCGUGUAAUGUAACACGAAUUCUACGUGUGGACGGCAGUACGAGCAUUACAUGUAACGCUCGCGCGGCGCUCGCGGUUGAUCCAUCGGCUGUCGGUUUUUCGCGCGAACACAAAGACGCUCGCAGUGCUCGUUUGGACGGCGGCGUUCGUGACGGUUGUGUCGUAUGUACGGGUAAAGUUUUUAUAUUGA